CCUACGGGGUGCAGCAGUGGGGAAUAUUGCACAAUGGGCGCAAGCCUGAUGCAGCCAUGCCGCGUGUAUGAAAAAGGCCUCCGGGUUGUAAAGUACUUUCAGCGGGGAGGAAGGUGUUGUGGUUAAUAACCGCAGCAAUUGACGUUACCCGCAGAAGAAGCACCGGCUAACUCCGUGCCAGCAGCCGCGGUAAUACGGAGGGUGCAAGCGUUAAUCGGAAUUACUGGGCGUAAAGCGCACGCAGGCGGUCUGUCAAGUCGGAUGUGAAAUCCCCGGGCUCAACCUGGGAACUGCAUUCGAAACUGGCAGGCUGGAGUCUUGUAGAGGGGGGUAGAAUUCCAGGUGUAGCGGUGAAAUGCGUAGAGAUCUGGAGGAAUACCGGUGGCGAAGGCGGCCCCCUGGACAAAGACUAACGCUCAGGCGCGAAAGCGUGGGGAGCAAACAGGAUUAGAUACCCCAGUAGUC
rnacentral:rRNA from 1 species